rnacentral:rRNA from 1 species
UACGUAGGGAGCGAGCGUUGUCCGGAUUCAUUGGGCGUAAAGAGCUCGUAGGCGGCUUGGUAAGUCGGAUGUGAAACCUCCAGGCUCAACCUGGAGUCGCCAUCCGAUACUGCCAUGGCUAGAGUCCGGUAGGGGCCCACGGAAUUCCUGGUGUAGCGGUGAAAUGCGCAGAUAUCAGGAGGAACACCAAUGGCGAAGGCAGCUCGCUGGGACGGUACUGACGCUGAGACGCGAAAGCGUGGGGAGCAAACAGG